UACGGGGGGAGCUAGCGUUGUUCGGAAUUACUGGGCGUAAAGCGCACGUAGGCGGCUUUUUAAGUCAGGGGUGAAAUCCCGGGGCUCGACCCCGGAACUGCCCUUGAAACUGGAGAGCUAGAAUCUUGGAGAGGCGAGUGGAAUUCCGAGUGUAGAGGUGAAAUUCGUAGAUAUUCGGAAGAACACCAGUGGCGAAGGCGACUCGCUGGACAAGUAUUGACGCUGAGGUGCGAAAGCGUGGGGAGCAAACAAG
rnacentral:rRNA from 1 species